GACGAACGCUGGCGGCGUGCUUAACACAUGCAAGUCGAACGCUGAAGCUUGGUGCUUGCACUGGGUGGAUGAGUGGCGAACGGGUGAGUAAUACGUGAGUAACCUGCCCUUGACUCUGGGAUAAGCCUGGGAAACUGGGUCUAAUACUGGAUAUGACAUGCCACUGCAUGGUGGUGUGUGGAAAGGGUUUUACUGGUUUUGGAUGGGCUCACGGCCUAUCAGCUUGUAGGUGGGGUAAUGGCCUACCAAGGCGACGACGGGUAGCCGGCCUGAGAGGGUGACCGGCCACACUGGGACUGAGACACGGCCCAGACUCCUACGGGAGGCAGCAGUGGGGAAUAUUGCACAAUGGGCGGAAGCCUGAUGCAGCGACGCCGCGUGAGGGAUGACGGCCUUCGGGUUGUAAACCUCUUUCAGCACGGAAGAAGCGAGAGUGACGGUACGUGCAGAAGAAGCGCCGGCUAACUACGUG
rnacentral:rRNA from 1 species